rnacentral:lncRNA from 1 species
AUGAGCCACCAUGCCUGGCUUGCAAUGAUGCUAUUUUCUAGCUUGACCAAAAUGUUGCCAUGCUUAUCUUGGACUUUCUGCAUGAGAACAAGGACCCGGUCUGUUAGAGCAGGAGUCCCCAGUCCCCAGCAGACUGGUACCAGUCUGCAGCCUCUCAGGAACUGGACCAUACAGCAGGAGGCAGAGGAAGGCGACCAGAUGGUCAAAGGACACCCGGGCCUAGGGAAACCAAAGCCCCAAGUCAUCCAGCGAGAACAGCAAAGAACUCAGGCUUUGGGUCUCGGUGUCUCAAGAUGUGUGGCAACAGCUUCCUGUCUACCAAGUUCUGCAUGUGUAAGGCGUGAGGACAAAGCUUUCCAGUCAUGGGAAACAAUGCACCCCGAGUGGUGACCUUGAUGGUGGCGAUCUCCCACCUCCAGGCUCCUACCAGUGAGCUGCCAUUCCACAGACAAGAUCCGGGAAGAGGAUGGUGGCUUUUCCAAUAAGGUUAUUAAGCCAUUAUAUGGAACAAUUUCAAAUGUUGUCCACCUGGGGGUGCCCUCUCCCAGUCACAAACCCAUCUUUGGGGAAGAGACCAGUCCAUAAAACAGAGAUGAGGGGCUGGGCGUAGUGGCUCACGCCUGUAAUCCCAACACUCUGAGAGGCCGAGGUGGGUGGAUCGCCUGAGGUCAAGAGUUUGAGACCAGCCUGGCCAACAUGGUGAAAUCCCGUCUCUACUAAAAAUACAAAAAUUAGCCAGGCAUGGUGGUGGGUGCCUGUAAUUCCAGCUACUUGGGAGGCUGAGGCAGGAGAAUUGCUUGAACCCAGCAGUCAGAGGUUGCAGUGAACAGAGAUGGCACCACCUUGAGUGACAAGAGCAAGACUUCUUCUCAAACACACACACACACACACACACACACACACACAAGAUUAGGCCAGGUGCAGCGGCUCAUGCCUAUAAUCCCAGCACUAUGGGAAGCUUGGGAAGCCAAGUACAAAGUGCAGGAGAAUCACUUCAGGCCAGGAGUUCAAGACCUGAGCAACACAGCAAGGCUCUUGUCUCUACAAAAAAAUUAAAAAUUAGCCUGAUGUGAUGGCCCAUGCCUGUAGUCGCAGCUACUCAGGAGGCUGGGAGCAUCAACUGAGCCCAGGAGUUUGAGGACACAGUAAGCUGAGAUCACAUCACUGCACUCCAGCCUAGGUGACAGAGUGAGACCUUAUUUCAAUCAAUCAGUCAGUAAAACUGAGCGUGGUGGCUCAUGUCUGUAAUCUCAGCAUUUUGGGAGGCCAAGGUGGGCAGAUCACCUGAGGUCAGCAGUUCAAGACCAGUCUGGCCAACAUGGGGAAACCUCAUCUCUAAUAAAAAUUCAAAAAAAAAAAAAUAGCUGGGCAUGGUUGCGCAUGCCUGUAGUCCCAGCUACAUGGGAGGCUGAGGCAGGAGAAUCAGUUGAACCCAGGAAGCGGAGGUUGCAGUGAGCCGUGAUCGCACCAUUGCACUACAGCCUGGGUGACAGAGUGAGACUCUUUCUCAAAAAAUAAAUAAAUAAGAAACACAGAGAUGACUCAGGUAUGCCACCAUUUCUUGUGUUCAUCAUGCUGAAAGGACUAGAGAUAGCAAAAGAAGAAAAAUAAAAUUGCUUUGUAUAAAAAAGGGAACUGAUAUGAUUGCUUAUAUGUGGACAGAUGGAUGAGCCGGCACGUCCUGAGGGUGUUUAUGAAGAGGUCCGCACAUUAUAUGAAAAAAUUGCAAAUGUUAUCCAACUGGGGUACCCUCUCCCAGGCAUAAACCCAUUUUGGGGGGAUCAGGCCAGGUACAGUGGCUCAUGCCUGUAAUCCCAGCACUUUGGGAAGCCAAAUGCAGGAGGCAAGCUCUCCUGGUUCUAAGCAAUGGUGACUGAGUGCUGAUUGUGUUGGUGACGCCUGCUCUCGUAGCAGACAGGCCCUGUGGUUCUAAAUCCUCAUGGAUAUGGCUAAUUCCAUGGUAACAAUUUAUUAGGACCUUAUUAGGGUCCUUAUUAGAACAGAAGACAUUCCUAUUACCCAGGAGAUUCCAAGGGAUUUAGGAGCUCUGCAUCAGCAACCAGGG